rnacentral:lncRNA from 1 species
GUACAUAUCCCACUUCAUAACCGUGGCUAGUUUGGCUAGUUUGGCUUUGGCUCCGAGCCCUAGUUUAGGUUUCAUCUCCGACAUAAUCUCCAUAACCGUGGCCACAACAUCCUUAAUCUCCUUCUCAAAUACACCUUUAAUCAUCUCCGAGUUUUGAAGAUACUCUGUCAAGGCUUGAUCAGGUUUGUAUUUUAUUGUUACUGGUAUUUUAGAACCUGGAUCUUUUGAACAAUUUAAG